AAGCAUAUCAAUAAGCGGAGGAAAAGAAACCAACAGGGAUUACCUCAGUAACGGCGAGUGAAGCGGUAACAGCUCAAAUUUGAAAGCUAGCUCUUUUAGGGUUCGCAUUGUAAUUUGUAGAAGAUGCUUCGGGUGUGGCCCCGGUCUAAGUUCCUUGGAACAGGACGUCAUAGAGGGUGAGAAUCCCGUAUGUGACUGGGUGCUUUCGCUCAUGUGAAGCUCUUUCGACGAGUCGAGUUGUUUGGGAAUGCAGCUCAAAAUGGGUGGUAAAUUUCAUCUAAAGCUAAAUAUUGGCCAGAGACCGAUAGCGCACAAGUAGAGUGAUCGAAAGAUGAAAAGCACUUUGGAAAGAGAGUUAAACAGUACGUGAAAUUGUUGAAAGGGAAGCGCUUGCAACCAGACUUGCGCGCUGAUGAUCAUCCGGGCUUCUGUCCGGUGCACUCGUCUGCGCUCAGGCCAGCAUCGGUUUCGGUGGUGGGAUAAAGGCCUUGGGAAUGUAGCUCCUCUCGGGGAGUGUUAUAGCCCUCGGUGCAAUGCCGCCUAUCGGGACCGAGGACCGCGCUUCGGCUAGGAUGCUGGCGUAAUGGUUGUAAGCGACCCGUCUUGAAACACGGACCAAGGAGUCUAACAUCUAUGCGAGUGUUUGGGUGUCAAACCCAUACGCGUAAUGAAAGUGAACGGAGGUGAGAACCCUUAAGGGUGCAUCAUCGACCGGUCCUGAUGUCUUCGGAUGGAUCUGAGUAAGAGCAUAGCUGUUGGGACCCGAAAGAUGGUGAACUAUGCGUGAAUAGGGUGAAGCCAGAGGAAACUCUGGUGGAGGCUCGCAGCGGUUCUGACGUGCAAAUCGAUCGUCAAAUUUGCGUAUAGGGGCGAAAGACUAAUCGAACCAUCUAGUAG
rnacentral:rRNA from 1 species